rnacentral:rRNA from 1 species
AACGAACGCUGGCGGCAUGCCUAACACAUGCCAGUCGAACGAGACCUUCGGGUCUAGUGGCGCACGGGUGCGUAACGCGUGGGAACCUGCCCUUAGGUUCGGAAUAACUCCCCGAAAGGGGUGCUAAUACCGGAUAAUGUCUUCGGACCAAAGAUUUAUCGCCUUUGGAUGGGCCCGCGUUGGAUUAGCUAGUUGGUAGGGUAAAAGCCUACCAAGGCGACGAUCCAUAGCUGGUCUGAGAGGAUGAUCAGCCACACUGGGACUGAGACACGGCCCAGACUCCUACGGGAGGCAGCAGUGGGGAAUAUUGGACAUUGGGCGAAAGCCUGAUCCAGCAAUGCCCGUGAGUGAUGAAGGCCUUAGGGUUGUAAAGCUCUUUUACCCGGGAUGAUAAUGACAGUACCGGGAGAAUAAGCGCCGGCUAACUCCGUG